GGUUGUGUGGCGCAAUCGGUUAGCGCGUCGAGCUAAUAAGUACUGUCAGGCUCUGAGCAAGUGUCUUUCAGGCACUCGAAGGUUGCCGGUUCAAUCCCGGUCAUAACCA
rfam:Dacryopinax sp. DJM-731 SS1 chromosome Tnknown DACRYscaffold_5, whole genome shotgun sequence.